ACCUACGGGGCGCAGCAGUGGGGAAUAUUGCACAAUGGGGGAAACCCUGAUGCAGCGACGCCGCGUGAGUGAAGAAGUAAUUCGUUACGUAAAGCUCUAUCAGCAGGGAAGAAACACUGACCUUACGGUCAGCAGACGGUACCUGAGUAAGAAGCCCCGGCUAACUACGUGCCAGCAGCCGCGGUAAUACGUAGGAUGCGAGCGUUAUCCGGAUUUAUUGGGUUUAAAGGGUGCGUAGGCGGAUUUUUAAGUCAGCGGUAAAAUGUCCGGGCUCAACCCGGGCCGGCCGUUGAAACUGGGGAUCU
rnacentral:rRNA from 1 species